GACGAACGCUGGCGGCGUGCUUAACACAUGCAAGUCGAACGGAAAGGCCCUGCUUUUGUGGGGUGCUCGAGUGGCGAACGGGUGCGUAACACGUGUGCAACCUGCCCUUGACUUUGGGAUAACUUCAGGAAACUGGGGCUAAUACCGGAUAGGAGCUCCUCCUGCAUGGAGGGGGUUGGAAAGUUUCGGCGGUUGGGGAUGGACUCGCGGCUUAUCAGCUUGUUGGUGGGGGAGUGGCUUACCAAGGCUUUGGCGGGUAGCCGGCCUGUGAGGGUGACCGGCCACAAUGGGACUGAGAUACGGCCCAGUGUCCUACGGGAGGCAGCAGUGGGGAAUAUUGCACAGUGGGCGGAAGCCUGAUGCAGCAACGCCGCGUGCGGGAUGACGGCCUUCGGGUUAUAAACCGCUUUCGCCUGUGACGAAGCGUGAGUGACGGUAAUGGGUAAAGAAGCACCGGCUAACUACGUG
rnacentral:rRNA from 1 species